GAACCUGCGGAGGGAUCAUUACACAAAUAUGAAGGCGGGCUGGAACCUCUCGGGGUUACAGCCUUGCUGAAUUAUUCACCCUUGUCUUUUGCGUACUUCUUGUUUCCUUGGUGGGUUCGCCCACCACUAGGACAAACAUAAACCUUUUGUAAUUGCAAUCAGCGUCAGUAACAAAUUAAUAAUUACAACUUUCAACAACGGAUCUCUUGGUUCUGGCAUCGAUGAAGAACGCAGCGAAAUGCGAUAAGUAGUGUGAAUUGCAGAAUUCAGUGAAUCAUCGAAUCUUUGAACGCACAUUGCGCCCUUUGGUAUUCCAAAGGGCAUGCCUGUUCGAGCGUCAUUUGUACCCUCAAGCUUUGCUUGGUGUUGGGCGUCUUGUCUCUAGCUUUGCUGGAGACUCGCCUUAAAGUAAUUGGCAGCCGGCCUACUGGUUUCGGAGCGCAGCACAAGUCGCACUCUCUAUCAGCAAAGGUCUAGCAUCCAUUAAGCCUUUUUUUCAACUUUUGACCUCGGAUCAGGUAGGGAUACCCGCUGAACUUAAGCAUAUCAAA
rnacentral:rRNA from 1 species